AUGCCUAGCCGGGUGGGCGCUGACGACGCCGGAGUGGGGGAGAUCGUGGAGGCCAGCGGGGGCGAGCACGAGAGAGCCGUGCCUCCGGGGAGUCGUUCCGCGGCGCAGAAGACCGCGCGGUUCACCGAGCCCGUGCCUGCGCCGCGCGGGGGCGGCCCGAGCCGCCUCGACAGGUCCAUGUCGUCCGCCCCCGCGCAGGCGCUCGAGGGUCUCAAGUUCAUCAGCGAGACAGACGCCUCCAAAGGAUGGACCAGCGCCGCCGGGUUCUUCGACACUAAGGGCCUGUUCGGCAACCCUCUAGCCCCCUCAGAUCCUCAACUCCUCAGCUCAACUCCUCCGCCCAACUCCUCGUUGAAAAAACCCAGAGUUCAGAAACGUUUGGCAGCACAGCUUCGUGAUCGGGAGCACUGGCGUGGGCUGGCAGCUGAUUCGACUUUGAUCUGGCCCAGCUCGAGUGAUAAGCUGCAGCGAAUCAGUAUGAAAGAGGUCGCGUUCGCCGGCGAGCUGUUCGACACGCUGGCAAGGCGGCGGGGCAUCUCCGGGGGCAGCAUCGACAAGGCGGAGCUGCGUGAGUUCUGGGACCAAAUUUCAGACCCCAGCAUCAAGAGCCGCCUGCAGCUCUUCUUCGACAUGGUGGACAAGAACGCUGACGGGAGGAUCAGCGAGGCGGAGGUCAAACAGAUCAUCACGUUGAGCGCGUCGGCGAACCAUCUAACAAUAACCGCACAACAGUACAAGGAGUAUGUCAAGCUCAUCAUGGAGGAGUUGGACCCCCACGGCCUUGGCUACAUCGAGCUGCACAGCUUGGAGAUGCUAUUACUGAAGCCGUUAAGCGAGACGAUGACCAACGGCAGUAAAUUGCCGGAGCCCAAUUGGCACAAGCAGUUGUACCGCCGCGCCCGAUACUUCCUGAAGGACAAUUGGUGCCGCUGCUGGGUGAUGCUCCUGUGGCUCUCUAUCUGCGCGGGGCUAUUCGCUUGGAAGUUCAUGCAGUACCGCCACCACGCUGUGUUCAAGGUGAUGGGCUACUGCGUGUGUGUGGCCAAGGGUGGCGCCGAGACACUCAAGCACCCGUUCUCCAUCACAUCGGCGCCGGAGGACGACUGCGUCAGCGUCCACAUCAAGGCGCUUGGUGACUGGACCGAAGACCUCAGGGACGCCUUCCUUAAGGUUUGCCCGAAAACAGAGGGGAAGAACGAGAUUCGACAGGUAGAGUAUGACCGCGACGACGCCAAGUCCAACCCAAGAUUCCCCAAGAUACUAAUCGAUGGGCCAUAUGGUGCACCCGCGGAGGAUUACAUGCGGUACGAGGUUGUGCUUCUGGUGGGACUCGGCAUCGGUGCCACGCCCAUGAUCUCGAUCAUCAAGCAGGGCCGUCUCUAG
rnacentral:rRNA from 1 species